rnacentral:rRNA from 1 species
CAGUCGCCGCGGUAAUGCGAAGGGUGCAAGCGUUAAUCGGAAUUACUGGGCGUAAAGCGUGCGUAGGCGGUUUGUUAAGUCUGUUGUGAAAUCCCCGGGCUCAACCUGGGAAUGGCAAUGGAUACUGGCAAGCUAGAGUGUGUCAGGGGAUGGUGGAAUUCCCGGUGUAGCGGUGAAAUGCGUAGAGAUCGGGAGGAACAUCAGUGGCGAAGGCGGCCAUCUGGGACAACACUGACGCUGAGGCACGAAAGCGUGGGGAGCAAACAGGAUUAGAUACCCGCGUAGUCCCUGUCUCUUAUAA